CUUCUAUGUGAUCAUACAUCUCGUUUUUAUAUCAACUUUUUUUUCCCUUUCUUCUCUCUUUUUGAAUGUAACAGCCAUGGAGAAGGAAGACUCUGUGCAUGAGAGUUUGGCUGAGCAAGACACUGAAGCCCUGCUGCUCCGUGAUGUGCUUCUUAAUGGCAUACUUGCUAUUGGCACACUUGGUCACAACGUAAACACCCUUUGUCCUGAGGCCUGCCACGAACAAGAUGAGUUCGUCAUCAUGGAUAGAGAGAAAGUUGAGGAAGAGAAGAAAAGUGAGGAAGAGAAGCAAGGAGAGGAGAAGGGUGGGGCCAUCGAAGACACAUUGGCUACAACACCCAGUGAACCAGCACCUGCUGUUCAACCUGCCAAGAUGCAUUCAUCAUCGAUGAAAGAAUGCAACUUCAUGUGUUCUGUAAGGGAAGAAAUCCUUAUUUGUAAUGUUGAAGUGGAGGAUGUAACUAAGAUCCAGGAACAACCCCUACUGACGGUAGAGAGGGUGGAGAAAGUAAGAACUACACUUGCUGACCUAUUUGCAGCAGAAGCAUUCUCAUCAAGUGAUACAGGGGAGAAGAAUUACGCGAAGGUCAUCAUUGUUGAUGGGGCAUCCACUUCAAGGCCUACAUCGUGCGUGGAAAAUAUUCAUCCAAUGAAGCCAACAAAGCCAACACCAAAACAACUGAAUGCUACAAGAAAAUUAAGUCGAGUAUGCUUUCUUCGUCUCUAUCUUAUAUGUGAUGCAAGUUUCAACUAUACUCAUUUUAUACAAACAUUGACUUGAAAACAAUCUGCAGUACUUAAAGUUCAACAGAUAUAAAAGUGAGAAACCCUUAUACGGUAACAGUAUGUAGACAUCAGUCAGUUCCCAAAGAGUACAGAAUCUCAUGAGAAGAACUGUGUUGUAGCCUUAUAGGUUAUGUAAUAAGUCCUUGUAACUUCAGUUGGCAUGUCUUGUACCAUCUCUUAAUAGCCUAGAAGUGGUUGAAAUUUACCACUCGAUUGACAGUGUUCUAUAUAUUACUCGUUUGUUCUUCUGGAUAGCUACAAUUAAAUUAAGUCUUAGGCAUCUAACUUAUCUGGAUAAUAAUGAUCCCUAACCUGUUAUCAUCUGUUGGUAUUGGCCGUCGGUCAAAAUAAGUAGGUCAUGAGGAAGAUGUUGGGGAAGAAGAUACACCCAGAGCAGCUCAACGGACAUAGCAAUGA
rnacentral:lncRNA from 1 species